rnacentral:lncRNA from 1 species
UAACCAAGGUCAAUCAAGCCCAAGUUACUGAUGAACUCUCUAAACUCUCUGGAGUCAAUAGUAUCCACACACUAUCUGCCAUCCAUGUUCUUGUGGGACCCCACAAUACAGUUGAUGUCUCUAGCAAUGAGAGAAGGUAGGCUCUAUAUCACUAGCCUGGAUAUCUCAGACCAAAAAACCCUCUACUCUCUAUACUCAGUGCUCGUGUAGACACCAGAUAGAAGCCAAUGGUCAUCGGUCUG